rnacentral:pre_miRNA from 1 species
CCGGGAUCGGGGGUUUGAGUCUGAGCCUCUGAAAGCAACUCUGGCUACUGACGCGGUGAUUGGAGCCAUGGCCA